GAACAAGCUUUUAAAGUUGAAUCAAAUAUGAAAAGAUCGAAAUGAGAAAAGGAGGAUAGGAAGAUGUCUAGGCUAGCAGGAACUCCAAGCGACCAGCAUGAAAACUUAGAGAAUAAUUCAAAUAAGAAGAAAAGAACAAACACUUGUAGCUACUGUGGUGGAAAUCACAUAUAGUGGACUUUGUUUUAAGAAACUUGGAAGGUGCUUCAAGUGUGGCA
rnacentral:lncRNA from 1 species